rnacentral:rRNA from 1 species
GAUGAACGCUAGCGGCAGGCUUAAUACAUGCAAGUCGAGGGACAGCACAGGUAGCAAUACUGGGUGGUAACCGGCAAACGGGUGCGGAACACGUACACAACCUUCCUUUAAGUGGGGGAUAGCCCAGAGAAAUUUGGAUUAAUACCCCGUAAUAUAGUUGAAUGGCAUCAUUUGAUUAUUAUAGCUACGGCGCUUAAUGAUGGGUGUGCGGCUGAUUAGAUAGUUGGCGGGGUAACGGCACACCAAGUCUACGAUCAGUAGCUGAUGUGAGAGCAUGAUCAGCCACACGGGCACUGAGACACGGGCCCGACUCCUACGGGAGGCAGCAGUAAGGAAUAUUAGUCAAUGGACGCAAGUCUGAACCAGCCAUGCCGCGUGAAGGAUUAAGGUCCUCUGGAUUGUAAACUUCUUUUAUUUGGGACGAAAAAGGGCCUUUCUAGGUCAACUGACGGUACCAGAUGAAUAAGCACCGGCUAACUCCGUGCCAGCCGCCGCAGUAAUAC